AGUCGAGCGGUAACAGGGGGUGCUUGCACCCCGCUGACGAGCGGCGGACGGGUGAGUAAUGCAUAGGAAUCUGCCCAGUAGUUGGGGAUAGCCCGGGGAAACCCGGAUUAAUACCGAAUACGCCCUACGGGGGAAAGCAGGGGAUCUUCGGACCUUGCGCUAUUGGAUGAGCCUAUGUCGGAUUAGCUAGUUGGUGGGGUAACGGCCUACCAAGGCGACGAUCCGUAGCUGGUCUGAGAGGAUGAUCAGCCACAUCGGGACUGAGACACGGCCCGAACUCCUACGGGAGGCAGCAGUGGGGAAUAUUGGACAAUGGGGGCAACCCUGAUCCAGCCAUGCCGCGUGUGUGAAGAAGGCUUUCGGGUUGUAAAGCACUUUCAGUGAGGAGGAAAACCUUAUGGCUAAUAUCCUUGAGGCUUGACGUUACUCACAGAAGAAGCACCGGCUAACUCCGUGCCAGCAGCCGCGGUAAUACGGAGGGUGCAAGCGUUAAUCGGAAUUACUGGGCGUAAAGCGCGCGUAGGUGGUUAGGUAAGCGAGAUGUGAAAGCCCCGGGCUUAACCUGGGAACGGCAUUUCGAACUGUCUGACUAGAGUAUGGUAGAGGGUAGUGGAAUUUCCUGUGUAGCGGUGAAAUGCGUAGAUAUAGGAAGGAACACCAGUGGCGAAGGCGGCUACCUGGACCAAUACUGACACUGAGGUGCGAAAGCGUGGGGAGCAAACAGGAUUAGAUACCCUGGUAGUCCACGCCGUAAACGAUGUCAACUAGCCGUUGGGGAUCUUGAAUCCUUAGUGGCGCAGCUAACGCACUAAGUUGACCGCCUGGGGAGUACGGCCGCAAGGUUAAAACUCAAAUGAAUUGACGGGGGCCCGCACAAGCGGUGGAGCAUGUGGUUUAAUUCGACGCAACGCGAAGAACCUUACCUGGCCUUGACAUCCUGCGAACUUUCUAGAGAUAGAUUGGUGCCUUCGGGAACGCAGUGACAGGUGCUGCAUGGCCGUCGUCAGCUCGUGUCGUGAGAUGUUGGGUUAAGUCCCGUAACGAGCGCAACCCCUAUCCCUAGUUGCUAGCAGUUCGGCUGAGAACUCUAGGGAGACUGCCGGUGACAAACCGGAGGAAGGUGGGGAUGACGUCAGGUCAUCAUGGCCCUUACGGCCAGGGCUACACACGUGCUACAAUGGCGCGCACAGAGGGCUGCAAACUCGCGAGAGUAAGCCAAUCUCUUAAAACGCGUCGUAGUCCGGAUCGCAGUCUGCAACUCGACUGCGUGAAGUCGGAAUCGCUAGUAAUCGCGAAUCAGAAUGUCGCGGUGAAUACGUUCCCGGGCCUUGUACACACCGCCCGUCACACCAUGGGAGUGGAUUGCACCAGAAGUGGUUAGUCUAACCUUCGGGAGGACGAUCACC
rnacentral:rRNA from 1 species